AAGUAUACUUUCAGGGAUCACUUGCACAGGUCAUUACUAGAGAAGUUUUUGUGCACUGUGCAGAGCACCAGGAACCGCAAGGAGGAGGCACAGCAUCUCUCCCGAGCUUGAAGCUGGCUCUUGGUGUCACUUCGCUGCAACUGCGAUUUGCCAUUGAUGCUCUUUCUUCUCUUCCUCGGGAAGAGUAAGAGAGAGAAGAUGCAGACUGAGUGAG
ensembl:snoRNA U3 Small nucleolar RNA U3